rnacentral:misc_RNA from 1 species
GAUGAAGAACGUAGCGAAAUGCGAUAAGUAAUGUGAAUUGCAGAAUUCAGUGAAUCAUCGAAUCUUUGAACGCACAUUGCGCCCGCCAGUAUUCUGGCGGGCAUGCCUGUUCGAGCGUCAUUACAACCCUCAGGCCCCCGGGCCUGGCGUUGGGGAUCGGCGGAGCCCCCCGUGGGCACACGCCGUCCCCCAAAUGCAGUGGCGGUCCCGCCGCAGCUUCCAUCGCGUAGUAGCUAACACCUCGCGGCUGGAGAGCGGCGCGGCCACGCCGUAAAACACCCAACUCUUCUGAAGUUGACCUCGAAUCAAGUAGGAAUACCCGCUGCACUUAAGCAUAUCAAUAAGCGGAGGA